rnacentral:misc_RNA from 1 species
GGAGGAUCAUCAGAAGGGGAGUAUGUGAACAGUCGUAACUUACAGUGGGCCCAUGGGAAGGCUGGUGAGGAUAGGGUUCAUGUUGUGCUUUCUGAAGAGCAAGGAUGGUUGUUUAUUGGGAUAUAUGAUGGCUUUAGUGGUCCAGAUGCACCGGAUUUUCUCAUGAGCCAUCUUUAUAGAGCUAUAGAUAAGGAAUUAGAAGGGGUGCUAUGGGAUUAUGAAGAUAAAUCUGUAAAUGGUCCAAUAGAACCUGAACUUUCCAAGUGCAUAAAUGCUGAGGCUGGUUCCGAGUGUGGGAAGGAAAACCAGCCAAAUUUGAGUCAAGUAACUUCUCAUGGUUUAGAAGAAUCAUGCAAUCCAGUAGUUUUCAGGGAUCAAUCUUCGAAUUGUGAAAUAGUAGAGGAACGUGAUGAUGAUGUUAGUAGCAGUCAA